rnacentral:rRNA from 1 species
UACGUAGGGGGCUAGCGUUGUCCGGAUUUAUUGGGCGUAAAGAGCGUGUAGGCGGCCAGGUAGGUCUGCUGUGAAAACUCGAGGCUCAACCUCGAGACGUCGGCGGAAACCAUCUGGCUAGAGUCCGGAAGAGGAGAGUGGAAUUCCUGGUGUAGCGGUGAAAUGCGCAGAUAUCAGGAGGAACACCGGUGGCGAAGGCGGAUCUCUGGGACGUGACUGACGCUGAGACGCGAAAGCGUGGGGAGCGAACAGG